rnacentral:lncRNA from 1 species
GUGGUUGUGUUGUUGAUUCUGUGUUAUCAUCUUCUCUAAAAUGAGAUUGAGAAGGCUCAGGUGUAGGAUUUGAAGUACUUUCCACAUUUACUUGAUGAGAACUUUGUUGUGAAACUUGUUGAGUACUAGCAACAUUCAUAUUUUUUGUAUUCACUAGAUCCAUUUUACCUAACAAAAGAAACACAAUAAACAUAGAUACGACAAAUGAAUAAUACAGUAUUAAGUCUGUUGAUAAACAAGGAAAAAGUGGUUUCUAAAAAAUAGAAUGUCACCACAUACAUUGCAGUAAUGUAUGUAUAAUCAUAAUGUUGAUUUUUAUUGGAUAAUUUGUAUCUAAGUUUUGUACCAUAUACUAACACUUUUGAUUGAUUUCAGAUUUCACUUAAGAGGAAUAAGUGCUUAAACAGAAUCACUGAACAUAUAAAGAAAUAAUUAUAAAAAAAUAUGAAGGAAUCUCUAGAAGUUGAAUUUGAAUACUAUAAAUACUAUUUUUAUUUUAUUUACUCUAAAAGGAAUCUCUAGCUAGCUUUAUAUGUUGACUCCAGUAUGCAACAAAUUACAAAUGUAUGCAAAAAUAUGCUAAAGCCUUCGAACUGUGUUGUUUAUAUAGUUACUAAUAUAGUUACUCCUUAUACUUCUAUUUAUCCCAUAGAUUGUUUAAAAAUGUUAACCUCGUAAGUUUUUGGAGUACUCCUUAUACUUCUAUUUAAUAGAUCUGAAGCUUUAAAAAGUAGAUUAUUCAUAUGAAAUCCAAAUAUGCUAUGAAUAAAUAAAUCAAUCAAAAAGCUUUAAAAAAUCUACUUAUAAGCUAUGAUAUAUUACCAAUGGAGAAGAGGAAGAUGAAUGAAGAAGAUAAAGAUGAU